rnacentral:lncRNA from 1 species
AAAGGUAUUCGACUUCCCCCUUUUUCCCUAUCGAACACCCCGGAGAAAGAAGAAGUCUCCUUUUAUUAUUUUUUCCAUUUUCAUUUCAUUUACUAGCCAAAAGAACAACAAACUAACAAGAAUGAAGAUGAAAUGAAUUUACCAGCCAAAUUCCACAUCAAGCCUAACCUUGCGUAAGCUCCUUUCCUUUCUUGUUCCUGCCUUGUUCUUCUCUCUUAGCAAGUUUAUUGAGGAAAUCAGCCCCAAACAAAGCUUGAAAGCUUAAACUCC